rnacentral:rRNA from 1 species
UACGUAGGGCGCAAGCGUUGUCCGGAAUUAUUGGGCGUAAAGAGCUCGUAGGUGGUUUGUCGCGUUGUUCGUGAAAACCGGGGGCUUAACCCUCGGCGUGCGGGCGAUACGGGCAGACUGGAGUACUGCAGGGGAGACUGGAAUUCCUGGUGUAGCGGUGGGAUGCGCAGAUAUCAGGAGGAACACCGGUGGCGAAGGCGGGUCUCUGGGCAGUAACUGACGCUGAGGAGCGAAAGCGUGGGGAGCGAACAGG